CGUUGUUUCUCUUCGUCUUUCUCUCCCUUUUUUCUUAUCUCACGAGACUUGAUCUCUUUUUUUCGAUCUCGCUAGACCUUCAUCAUCGAUCACGACAUCGAUUCACACCUUUUGGGUCAUUGAUUUUGGGUUAUCAAUCACAACAAAGCAACUCAUCUUCCUUGUGAGACGGUUGUUAUUAGACCGAGUCCAAAUGAUGUGGAAGACAUGAUCACACGUCCACCAAAGGAGUGAAAACAAUGGGCAUUAGAGAAGUGAACGAAACGAUGAAGUGGCUCGAUUGGAAUUAGAGACUUUUGUUUGUGUUCUAUUAUCAAACGACGAGAGUUCUUGUUAAUGUGUAAUGGUGGAGACUAGAGAGACAAUCUUGUUUUUCUUGCUAGACAUUUGAUUUUCUGUUAUUUCAAAUAUUUUGAUGAGUUA